CCUCAAGUGAGUGAAGAAUCAGUACUCUUCUUUCCUAUAAUUAUACCCUUCCAAAGGGAUUAUCUAUGGGCUCCUGCUGGGGUCAGGAUGUUGGGCUAUGUGGCCCUUUGAUGUGGCCUAGUAUGGCAGAGCUUUGGCUCUGCUGUGUCUGUUGUGGAGGGAGGAAUAUGGCACCAGGACAAAUGGACUGAAUUAAAUUGCAGUGAAACAGAGUAUCCACCACCGAUUUCCUUUGAAGAAGUGCUGCUCUCCUUUUAUAAGGAAGGUGUAAGAGUGUAUGAGGAUGUAAAAGAAUUCAGAUUAUGCAUUGCCUCAUCCUGAGGAGUUCAAACACACACCUUCCAUCUCUAAGGGAAUUUCCUCCCUAACAGGCUGGAAUUAAACCUAUUCUCCAAAUAAAUAUUUAAUCUGACUUUUGAGUUGCAUUUGGAUAUCUCUUCAUUAGCAAGCAAGGCAGCAGAACAGGAGCAGAUCUGUAGAGUGAGGGAAAAGGAACACAGUUCAUGUGCCAGAAAUGUCCCCAGGGCGUGAACCACAGUGUGGUAAGAGAAGCAGGGGAGGGUUUCAUUGCACAGCUAUGACCCUGAUAAAACGCUUCAUGCUAAUAUGGACAUAUUCUGCCGGAGUCUGGUUCUCAGCCCUGUGAGUGAACAGACCAGACAUUAAUAGAUGGACAACCUCAUGCUUCUUUUCUCCAAUACAAUAAUGCUUCAGCUUGUUUUUUUUUUUUUUUCUUUUGUAGCAUAAUAAAAUUUGAACAGAAGGAGGAAUACAGAAUAAUCUAUAACCAAGUAUCUAGAACAGUGGGACCAAGAGCCAUUUCAGCUUCUAGCAGCUGAAACAUUAUCCUAUUACAUUUUCUUCACUGACUUGCAUUUUCUAGCAAGAUGUUAACCUAAACUCCAUUUUCACUCCAGUGAAAAUGUAGUUCUUUAUUCUAUUAUCAUUUUUGCAGUAUUUAUACUGCAGUUUAAAGACUCAUUUGAGGUUAAACCUCUAUUGCCUGUAGAGGCUGGACAAAUACUGCUGAACAAUUACCCCUGCCACAUUUGCAGAUGUUUACAGACACAGGUGCUGUCUAAAUUGGUAGCCAUUUCCCUACAAGAUACUUAACUCCUGUUUUGUUUUGUUUUUAAUUAUUUUUUGAGCAUUUUGUUUUAGGUCUUCUGUUAGUUUUUGGUGUUUUUUUGGUGUGUGCUGUUUGUGGUGGUGGUUCUUUUGUUUGUUUUUUUUUUUGUGGGUUGUGGGGUUUUGUUUGUUUGGUUUUUUUUGUGUGUGUUUUUUUUUUUUUUUUUUUUUAACUGACAGCAAUUUUCAGAUUAUUUUUCAUGGCAUAGUCCAUUACCUAGAUUCUUUAAAAAGAUCACUCAAGAGUAGUAUAAAACAUCUUUUCAGAUUAGUUGCUUUGCUUCCAGGAAGUAAGACGGUGAAGUGCAGCCAGAGCACACCCCAAGUUCCCAACUGAUCCACAGGAACAAUGAGGGCUUGGGACACAACACAAUGCUCAUUGCAUUAAGUGAGGAAAGCAUCUAAACUUCUCUGAAGGCUUCCCAUAGUAACCAGCCAUCUAACCUGUGUUAUUAUCUACUUUUUACCUGCUACUAAUUUUUCCUUAUGGAGAGGAAGCUGUCCGGGUGACAAAAUAGUGCAGUCCUCUCAGUUUGGAUUUCAGUGGAGAAAUGAGCUGGCUAAUAUAUUUUUCCUUUAAUAUGCACUUAAAAUAACUUAAAGAAUUUGCUUUUAAUUGCUCCUUAAUAAUAGUUCUGUAUGACCUGUAGCUGAAAACACUUUUCUGUCAUAUUUCUCCUUAAUUACAGUGUUAGCUUUUUCCUCACAGUGUAAUCACAUGAAACAAAGACAAAUGCUGGAUUCUGCAUCUGAGGCUGUGUAAUCCUGGGUGCCUGGACAUAUUUAUAGGCUGGGAGACAAGAGGCUGGUGUGCAGCCCUACGGAAAGGGACCCUGGGGUUUUGGUUGUUGUUAAGCUCAAUACAAGCCAACAGCAUGCCCUCAGAGCCAAAAGGGCCAACCAUCUCCUGGGGUGCAUUAAGCACAGUAUAGAUAACAGGUCGAAAGUAGUGAUUGUCCCACUAUUCCUUAGCAUUGGUGCUGUGUCAACUGGAGCACUCUGUGCAGUUUUUGGGCUCCAUAAUACAAGCAGGGUAUAAAGAUAAAAUGUGUUUAAAGGUGGGCAACAAAGACAGUGAAAGAAGUAGAGGGCAUGACUUAUAAGGAGUGAGUGACAAUACUAGGUUUGUUCAGCCUAGAGGAGACUGAGGUGUGAUCUCAUUCCUGUCUACAGCUUCCUCAUGGUGCGGAGCACAGAUGGAGGUGAUGAUCUCUUCUCUCUGGUGUCUGGUGUUAGGACGUGAAGGAACGGCUUAAAGCUGCAUUGAGGAAGUUCAUAGUGGGUAUUAAAAAAAAAGUUUUUUACUGAGGGGAUGAUCAAGUGCUAGAACAAGCUCCCCAGGGAAGUGAUUAUGGCCCCAAGUCUGUCAGUGUUCAAGAAGUGUUUGAACAAUGCUCCCUACAUACAUGGUUUAACUCUUAGGUUGCCCUGGGUGGAGCUGGGAGUUAUGGGAAUAUGACUCAUGAGUCCCUUCCAGCUCAGGAUAUUCUGUGGUUCUGUGAUUCAAAUACCUAUCUUUUAAAACCUUCAAAAGGGACUUCAUCCUAUUUUGAAUAUGUUUCUUAUAUAUUUGUUUCAUUAUAUAAUAAAAAUACAAAGAGUCAUUUGAUUAAACCUUCAUUAACUACAAUUCUUCAGCCUUUCUAAAAAUGACAACAGUACUCAGGAAAAUAUUUAAUAUUAAAAAUAUUUUAUCUGCUCUUAAAUCCAAGAUGUAUUUCACCUUUCAAGAGACAUAAUCUCACAGUGAAAUAAAACAGUAGUCUGAAGAUAGUUUAACUAAUAUUUACAGCCUUUUGUGUAUAUAUAUUUGUUUGUUUCUAAAUAAUAUAGUUACUAUUUUCUGUAAACUAUUCUGUACAGUCUCAGGGAAUAUAAAUGUCUUUUUUCAAGAGUAUGCUAUCUUAUGAAAAGUUAUAGCAACCUCAUGGACAAGUAGAAGUAAUUACUUCAGAGUAAUUACUGAGAUACCCCCCGAUUUACAGAAUUUUGGAAAUUGAUAAGUACACACAUACAGCAAAACCUCUGAAAAUGAAAGUAAAGCAAUAUAGAAUGUACUUUUUAAAUUUCAAUUUAUGCCUACUUAUAAGAAAUACUUUUGUGUUUAUUGCUGCUUGUAGCAUUUCCACAUAAAAUUAAUUUACAGUGAAGUUUGUUCUAGUAAUUAAUAUAAGCCUUAAAAACACUGAAGAAGAAACUAUCAGAAUUCAAGCUUGGAAUAUAAAAACCUAUAUAAAUGUUAGGAUAGAUAUUUUCUAAUUUAUAACAUAUUUUGCAAAUUAUUUUUUUUCUACAAAUUUUAGUAAGAAUUUUAACUCCAUCUUAUUUUAAAAACAUUUGUAAAAUACCUAACUCUACUCUAGAAAUAGAUUUUUGUGAAAUAUAACUUUUAUUAGACAUGCAGAUAUAGACAAAGAUCUUUAAAAUUUGCAUAGUUUCAUUGAAAUCUCUUUAACAUUAAGCAGCUAAGAAACAAGGCCCUUGAAAUCUAUAGUUAAUGAAAAUGUCACUAAUUAGAUUGAUUUAAAGCAGUUCCUGUUCAAUUUCAAAACCAGCUGUUUAUAUAACAAAAGGUAAGGAAGCGUAAAUCCUAAGAGUUCAGUGGAAUGAAAAUGCUGAGAUAUAGUAAUAGUUCAUGGAUAAGACUAGCAUUUACAUUAUAAGUCAGCAUGUGAAGUUCUUUGAAAUUAAAUAAUUAAAUCCGUGUAGUGUCAAAGUCAAACUACACUUACAAAGAAAAGAUACCUAUGUGAAAAAUUUUUAAUUAGAUUGAAAGGAUAGAGAAAGAGAGGGAAGAGUGACAAGUCAAUUCUUUUUCCAAAUUGCUUUAGUUUAGGCAGUUGAUCAUGUAACCUUUAGCUGUGUCUAUAUUCUCUUUCAAGUGAGUCUCCAAAGGCAAGAGGAGAUAGAUUUUAAUUUAUGGAAUUCAUGCUUGCUUGGAUGAGGCUGGAUACAGUUUGUCUCCUAUAGAUAUUCUUUUAUAAUUCUAGAGACCCUAUUUCCUUUGUUGUCAGGUUUUUCCCUCCCCAUUUGCAUGAUUGGACUUGGAUUUGGGAAGACAAAAAAAACCUUGCUACCAUUGUGUCUCUUCCUCCUCACUGUUAUUAAUACUGUAUCUUGCUUCUGAAGAUGAGAUAUUGUUGCGGUCAUUGUGAUUUUACCAUUCUAGACAGUUUAUUUACUCCUUCUAGGUAUUUUUUAAUUUAUCUCUUUAAAGAAAGUUAUUUUUUUCCAUCAAUGUCAGGCAGAAGACAUAGAAAAGAACAGUCCUUAACAGAGAAUGCUCAAGUCCUUGGUUUCAGCUAAGUAUCUCAGGAAAAGCAGAAUUUUAUCUGUUAAUUUUAACUUGAUUUAGCUUCAUUGCUUUUCUCGCUAUUUAAUUACUACAUUCACAUUUAUUGUAAUUAUGUUUUCCUUAAGGACGGUACUCUUGCCUCAGCAGCAUUUUGGUACUUCAGCGCUUCCCCACUACAAAAGAGAUACCAUUUGCUUUCAAGAGCAGUGGCUGCUUGAAUAGUCAGAUAAACUUGCAUACAACAGAGAAUUCUGAGCAUAACAAAUAGCUUAAAACAUCUUUAUUGCCACUCAGCCUCAGUGACAUUACUAGAAAAACAAGGUCUGCAUUUUAUCCUGCUUCUCAUAAUUUUCUUUCCUUAUUGUUUUGAUUUAUAUUAAGCAUACCUUUCACAGUAAAAUUAUGACUUAUAACCUACCACUUUACUAAUAAUGCCUUUUUUGAAAGUCACGUCCAUAUAUGUUAUUCUAAUUCAGAACAAGAUGGCUUCUAGAAAGCCUAAAACUACACUUCACUUUCGCAUUACUUGUAUGUGUUAGAUAAUAUGAUGGUAUGAAGAUACUAAAACUGAGUAUGGAAUAAAUGCUUUUGAACUCAUGGGAGACUUGUAACUUUAUCGGUAUGAAGGACUCUCUAUUGAUAUAAAAGUACUGUGUUAGAUGCUUGAGAACUGAACUGUAAAUUGGGAAAAAAACUGUAUUCUACUACUUCUGGUUACGAAGUUAUUGAAGUACCUUAACAGUGGAUUUCUCCCACACUGCUUGCAGUUGCAGUAAUCAUUCAAAAUACAAAAGCAUUUACUGAUUAAUAGAAUAAAUAGUAUUUAAAAUAUUGGAUAAUUCGAGUUACCUCUCUCUCAUGUAAAGAUCAUGGACUCCUGUAGUUUGACUCUUGGAGUUACCAAAACAAAAAGUUUCAAUCAAGUUCUAGUUUUCUGCAGAAGAGUGAAGAUAGCAGGUUUUUAACCUGCUGCUCUUCUGGAGACUAUGCCAUUGUUGUGGUUUAACCUGAGUUAGCAAUACAACUGCACUGUUUCCUCCCACUCUGCCCUGCCCAGUAGGGAAGAAAAUCAAAAGGGAAGGGAGAAACUUGGAUUGAGAUACACGCAGUUAAAUAAAAUAACAAAAUACUAAUAUGCUACUAGUAAAUAUAUAUAUAAAAUAGAAUAGAAAAUGAAAGAUACUUAAUGCAAUUCCUCACAGAUUCUGUCCACACUGAGCAGCCACUCCCAGGAAGAAGCACCUGGUCCCAACAGCCGAUCCUGGAGAGAAAAAAAAGGAAAAAAAGGCAGAAAAGGCCCAGAAAUCCCCACAAAAUGGCAGAAUGGAAAAGGAUGACCUAAAGAUCCCAAACAGAACUCCCCCCUGCCCCAACAUAAAGAGCAAAGAAAGUGAAGAGAAUGUAAGAGAGCCUGGAAGAUCCCAACUCUCAUUAAUUAUGAAGCAUGAUGCUAAUGGGAUGGAAUACUCUUAUUAAUCAGUCUAAAUGUCAGUCAAGCUCUGCUCCAUCCAUGCCCCCCUUCCUUGAUUCCUCACACCUGUGGGCAGAGCUCAGUCUGUCCUUGGCUUUCAGAUUAGAGCAAUUAAAAACAUUAACUCUGUCUCAGGAUGUUAUCUCUUGUUCUCAAACUAAGUCCAAAUAAUGAUUGUGCUGGCUAUGAAAAAGAAAGGUUUCUAACUGCAUGAAGAAAAUUAACUCAUUUUUAACCAAACCAGCACAACAAUCUUAUUUUUUUUUUUACUCCUUUUGAUUCUGAAUUCAUGAGCAAAUGCAAAUAUUAAACAAACAAACAAACAAGACAACACCUCUCCUCCAAACCACAAGCUAGUUUGAAGUGUCUGUUGAAAAAGAUGCUCUAAUUAACUUUGGUUUCAGAGAAAGUGCCUAAUGAAAUUAAGAUUACUUCAUUCUGGUUUUUAGAAAAGGCUAACUCUGUUUUACAGGCUCUGCUAUAGAGAGUAAAGUGAUUUCUCAUCUUCAAUGGCACUAUUUUCCAAACCUGUCUUUUCAGGGAAAACAGACAGAAUCUGCACAGCUCACUCUAUUCAUCCUCACAUCAGUGGUUACAAUCAUAUAUAAUUGCUUUAAGAAGAACUCCUCAGAGGAUGCUUAUUCAAGUGCUGCCUCUAUCUGCAUUAUAUUUGAGUGUAGAUAUUACUGUUAUGUGUCAAGGAUGGUGGUGCACAGUGUUUGGGUAUUUCUCUAGAGGGUUUCAGAGUUUUACUUGGGUAAAGUACAAAUAAAAAACAGCAAAGAAAAAUCAGUGUUGUAAGCCUACUAUUAAAUCCUUGUUAUAGUAUCCUAACUAUUUAAUUUUGAAUUCUGUAGGUAAAAUUAUUUUCUCAGCAUACCAGUUUUCCAAGACCACUUUAGUUUUUGAUAGCUAAAUAAUUAUGCAUUUAGAAAAAUUGAAUAUAUUAAACAGGAACUUUAAUUUUACUAUUUUUCCAUCUGCCUGUGCGGGAAAAACAAAAUAAAAAGUUUUCAUCUGAAUGAUAUCCUGUGCCAUAACAUUUCAGUGUCUUCCUGGAACUUUAUUAUGAAACCUAGAUUAUCCAUAUGAAUAUAAACAGUUUUAGAAUGUUUGCGUCUGACAUAUAAUUAAGAAAUUACAUUUUUAACCCACAUAUUGGUUUAAUAUUGCAUGUAUGACUCAGAUAUUUAGAAAUACUAGUAAACAGAAUUGAAUUAUUUCCCUUUCAGUGGUUCAUUGCCCAUCAGAGUGAGUUCAAUUUAUUUUUUUCUGAUUUUGAAUCUAACAUAUAUAUACAUAAAUGCUUAUUACUUAUAGCUGUGGAAGAUUCUGUUUUGCUCCUAGCUCAAAACAAUGUAUGACUGAAAAACUGCUGUAAUAUUGUUAGAAACUUCUCUUUUUCUUUUAGAUUGAUACUAGUAUUGUUAGCUACAGUAAUAAGUUGUUUACAGAACUGCAGUACAACAGAACUGAGAAGGUAGCUUUUUCUCUUUUACUUUGGCUGCACAUCUGGUGGCCACUAACAACCAAGCAUUCUGAUGUGUUGUUCGUCUAUGCUGAGAUUGCAUGAAGGAUUUUGCCACCUGUUUAAUUUUUAUUCACUGUUUUAAAUACAUAUUUAGAAGGAGAGCUUUUAAUAUAUUUGAGUUAAAUGUGAAGGACAUUGAAUCAGGAUGUGUAGUUCAGCAGGCAGAGCUUGUAAAAUAUACUAAAUCCCACAAUUUUAAUCUCAUGAGAUUUCUUCAGUCAAGGAUUGCUUGCAGUUAUUUGGAACUGCAUAUUUGUUUACAGGCACUGAAUACUUUGCUGACCAAGUCUCUAUUUGAGGAAGUAUAGCUGAAAUUUUCCCCUCUGAUGUUUGAAGGCUUGCAUUUUUAGAAUUGGUGGGAUCCCCCACUCUGGACCUGCUAUUGAUUAUCCACAAGGUGAUACUGAUUAUUCCUCAUUAAUCUGAAAUCUUGGUUACAGAGACUCUGAAGAUAAUGAAGGGAUAAAUCCACUUCUAAACUUUAAGAAAAUGUGGUUAGAGAGCUAAUUUCUCUCUGUCAUCUGUGUGGCAAAAGGAACAAGAGCAAGUCUUCUAACACAUGCUUGAAGAAUCUAUAGGAGAAAUCUAGUUUACGUAGCUCAAGUAAAGAAAUAUCAUCAUAAUUUCAAGUAUCCAGUCAUAUUGGUAUUAUAAUUAAAAUAAUGCUGAAAUUUCUUAAGUAGUUAAUAUAAUACUAGAAAACAUUUUAUCCAUCUGAAAAAAGUAACUUUAUCACAGAAUGGCUGGGGUUGGAAGGGACCUCUGGAGAUCAUCUAGUCCAAUGCACCUUCUAAAGCAGGUUCACCUAGAGUAGAUUUCACAGGAAUGUGUCCAGCUGGGUCUUGAAUGUGUCCAGAGAAGGAGACUCCACAACCUCUCUGGGCAGCCUGUUGUAGUGCUUUGGCACCCUCCAAGUAAAGAAGUUUUUUGUCCAUAAGAAGUAUAGUUCAUUAAGCUAGACCAAAUUUGGUUAACUCAAUCUAAAGUACAGUAUCUAUUUUCUUUCAUCACAGACAAAAAUCACCAUUUAUAGUUGGUUGAAACUGGAAGACAGCUAUCUCAGUGCAGAUCUAAAAAUAGUAGAAUAUUCUUUAACUGAAGAAUGAGAUAGAGACUACAGGGAAUAUUGGUCCAAAGUCUUCCUCUUCACCAACAGAGGCAUCUUAUUUCUCUCAAGUGAUUUUCACAGAGUUGUUUGUGUGGAGAAUUACCUACAGAAUGUUAAUUUUUGCCUCAUAUACAAUCUUUUGAUCAGUUUCUACCGCAGAACAGACUUUCUAUCUUUGUGUCUGGCAUCCAAAAAAGAAUUUGUUUUCAUGCUGUAACACUGUCAUUCAAACAAUUGUAGUAGUAUACUUGUAGGGCUACUUAGAUGUUUUCUCCCACUUCCUGGAACCUAUACUAAAUCAGAUACAGUAUCCAUUCCUGGGGGUGGGGGAAAAAAAGAAGUUUCUCUCAUCUUGUUUAACCUUUGAAAUUUUAAAUGCUACUUUAAGAUCAUAUGUUUGUGCUUGGUAAAAAGAUCAGUAGAAUUUAAACUGUUGCCUUGGAAAUAUUACAGAAUUUGUCCAGUUGGCUGUACCACUCCCUGUUUUCAUUUUCUUCCACAUAAUUAGAAGGAAAUAGAAGGACAGCUCAGUUUACUUCACAGAACUCCAUGAGACAAAAUAUUUCAAAUUGGUAGCCAGUCAUCUAAAUUUCAAAGUAUUUUGAAAUCUAAAUAUGUUUUUAGAUUUAAUUUUCUCUUCUCAACAACCUACAGAGAGGACUACCUAUUUAUUUAGCCUGAGAAUGCAGGGUUCUCACAAGGUGCUCAAAGUUGGAUCACUAUGUAAACAAUACCCAGUUUUGCUCUUUCUGAAACAAACAAAUAAAGAUAUAUUUUUACUUGAAAUAGUGAUUAAUUAACUUGCAAGUGAAAUGCAUCAUGAAGGGACAAGCAAAGACAUUAAGCAGUUUGGUGAUUUAAUACUAGUUUAUAACAGGUUUUAAUAUCUGAAAAAAAUAUAAUAUUCUUAAUGAAAAAUGGCACAAGAUCUUUCUUUUAAAAAGUUACCUAAUGACUAUAGGAACAAUAGAUAUGUUUUUUAAUAUUAAGACUUGAGAUAUUUCAGUACAUAAUACUUGGACAUCUUUUCCCAGAAGCUCGAUUUAUACCACUGUACAUAAAAUAAUAUGAAUGUCAUCAUUCAGGAGACACAGUGUCCAGAAUCUACCCUCAGUAGCAACUAAAUAACAGGUAACACUGGCACUGGCAUGUUCUUAUCUGGGGUCACAGGUGUGCCCAUGAUUUUAAAAUCCAGUCUACUGCUCUGUGUUUAUUUGUAUUGGAGUAUCUUAAUUAACUUUACCAGUUAUACUAAAUUAAUUAGGUCCUCUGUGAACAAAAUCAUGACACCUGCUCUUCUUUUUUUUUUUUUUUCCUUCUCUUUAUAGUUCAUAUUAAAAUUUCUAAUCUUUCCUUGACUCAGAAGGCUAAGUAUGAUGUAUUAGCGCAUAUGUUCCUUGCAAUGAUUUGAACUCUGAACAAGGAAACGAAUCAGAGUGGACCUCAUUUGGAAAAAAUGUGAACUUCAGGAAUGAAAUCCUGCUGAUUUCACCUGCUUUAACCUGGGUUCCAUCCAAGAUCUUGUGUGUUCCCAUGUGCUGAGUACGGAUAAUAAAAGGACAGGUUGUAUGUGCUUCUUAUUACAAUGCAACACUGACUCAGCGUCCUCAGCAGUUUAGAAACAACUGCAUUCUACUUAGGUGGUGGAAUAACUUAAUGAAAAGCUAUUUCAACAUAUUUUGUAAUUAGAAAUAUACUUUUGUGAUAGGCAAAUUUAAAUUCACCUGCAUGUGCAGAACUCAAUUUAAUUAUUACAUAUAAUGCACAUAAUCCAGGCCAUGGAGGAUGUUAACACCUCAUUUUAAAGAGAACCUGACAUGUUAUGACAAACUUAAUCUUAUCUAAAGCUUUUUUAUCUAAAGUCCACCAUAUCUCUGUCUGAUAAUACUCUACCAAUUUUUGUUUGAUUUUGCUUUUUUUUCCUUUUUAAAAAUUGUCUAAUAUCUUGUUAAAACAACACUAUUAGAAAAAGUAAUAAAAUAUUUCAGAUUAUGCAUAAUGGUUAAUUUUAAACUUGUGUGAGACAUUUUAAUUAUCAAGUAAACAGAAGAUACAUCAAGCUUUAUUCUGAGUUACAGAGACAUCAUUAGCAAAGUUGCAGGAACAUUCAUUCCCUCUCAGCAGGAAACAGGCACAUUAAUUGUCCAUUUGAAAUUAAAGCCUGUGUAACUCAAGUAACUAUAAAGCACAGCUUUAAGGACUCACAUUUGGCUAAAAAUUCCUUUGACCUUUCCUCAAAAAUUCACAUUUUAGCCUCUGUUGAAAAAUAUUUUUAUCUGAAGCAUCAAAAUAGUUAUUUUUCUGGCAUCAAAAUUAUGUUUUUCUGAAGUAUCUAGCAGAAGUAAUUAAAACACUGAAAGAGUUGAUGAAAUUGAUUAUUCCGUAAGAUAUUAGAGGAACAAUGUCAUGCACAAGGUUACUUAAAAGUGCCUGAAGUAUUGGACUUUGUUGUUUGUAACUGUUACACUCUCAAAUAAGACAAUAGCAUUUUUGUAAGACGCACAGUUUAAUUUGCAUUUUGUAAUUGCAUUGGUAUUUAUUUUUCCAAAGGACAACAGCAGAACCUUAUUAGUUGUAAAUAGUACUAUCUGUAGUACACAUAGUACUAAUAGAUGUAUAAAAUAUGUGGUGAAAAGGAUGAAGGAUUAUAUGUAGGAAGUUGGGUGAUUGAAUAUUUUCCAGAAAUCCUGGAUGAAACUGUCAAAUGUUGGUCUUAGAUUCACCUAAUUUACUCAGUUCUGGGCAUUUAAAAGGCAACUUAUUUAGGAACUUUAUUGUUUUUAAAGCUGAUGGGUAAUCUGAAAUUCUUUCACUGCAGAAAUCAAAGACAUUUAUUGAUGUUUAAUAUUAACUACAAUGCUAUAUUUCAGAGUGUUCAACACUCAGUACCUCCGAUGUAAUUGAUACAAUACUCAGAAACUCAAAAUGACACAUGCAAGAAGAAUCUGUUCUUCACCACUGAUCUUUUUAAAAAUUAAUAGUACCUCUAUAGUUGGAGAGUGUUUAUCAAAACCUUUUUUGGCUACAUGUACCCCUCUGUCUAUUCGGUUUCUGGGAUGAGUGUGCCUAAAAGACAAAUGCAUGCUCUACCUGUUUAGAAAUUGGCAUACAUCUUUUAUUGAUAUUGAGACUUGCUGAGGCUUGUUGAUGACAGAUACAAAGAAACGUUGGAUAACAACACAGAUUGAAGAAAUUUUCAGUGCAGAAGUGUCCUGAAAUAGUUUUAUCCACAGGGAGGUUCACAACAUCUACUUUAAGUUUCUGAUUCAAACUACCAUUCCCAGGGGCCACUUUCUCUAUUGACUAUCUGAAAGCCUCCUUUCCUCCAUAUUAGCUCAUCAAUACAGCUCCCCACUCCAGGUCUGUUAAGUCUGGCAAACACCACCUAAAAUGGUGUGUGACUUCAAGAGGGGAGUUUCCCUGCUGCAGAGGUUCUGGAGGAGACUGUAAUCCAUUCAUCAUAUGAAGACCAACUAGCAUGCUCUCGUGGAAUAACUAAGAGGAAAGUCUACUUCAGAUUCCCGAAGCACUAUUCCUCUUCCUGUACUCCCUUUCACAGGAACAGAAAGGGUUUAGAAAGAACCAGAAACAGAAAAGGGAGUUCUGAUUACUAAUUUAUUUUUCCUGUGAUUGUAGGUUUGUUUUUUUUUUUUUAGUAUAAUGGAUUUAGGUAUGGAAAGGGCCAGAUUUUAUAGGACCUACCUUUCCUUAAACUUUCAUGACUUAAACUAGCAUUUUUUUGUGGUUUUUCUUUGCAAAAGUUACUUAUCACUGCAAGUUUUUCAUCUACUAAACAAAUUUGUUCUACUUUUAUAACAGUACAUUAUCAAUACCACACAGUUUCUCUGGCAUUUACUAUUUUGAAAACUGGGUUAAAAAUACCUGUGGUGUUUCUUAGUGAGAUUGAUAUCAAUAAAGGAGUUAGCAGUGAUGACACUUAGAUAUUUAUAAAACCCACUGCCUUUCAAUGAGAUGACAUUGUCAUCAAAAGAAACCCCAGUGUAUUAAACACAAUGUACAUUUGAUGUGCUAGAAUGUCCCAUUAUUUUAUAAUAUUUCAUAAUAUAUUUUCUUUUAGUAGGUUUUGUGUGGUAAAUCUAUGACUAGCUGCCAAAACAUUUCAUUAGCUAAAUGAACUGUGAUAGAAAGUAGAUGACUUGCAUGUAUUGGUGAUCAUUUAUGUAGUUUGAAGUAAGGCAUGUUCCCGAAUCACCAUGUUGUAACGUGACUUUUCCUUAUCACUUCUGAUCAUUCUGAAAGCUGUUGAAAAACGCAGCACUCUUGGUAAUAGCCUUAUUACUUUCAGCAUGUAGGACAUCAAUUAGGGCUCCACUUCUAUUCAGAGGGUGUGGGAUAAGCAUGUGGUUCUGUGGAAACUCUGCAUAGAGCAUUUUGUUUCCUGCUCUGGAGGCUGCACUCAGAACUAAAUCAACUGUGCAUCUGUGAGAUGUAAAGAUGGAGCUCUCUAGCCCUCAAUAGAUACAGUGGAUAAUCUACUAUAUAAAAACAUUUAAACAUAGCCUAUUUUAUUCUUCCUGAAUACAUAAAAGUCUAGGGCUGAGCAGGAGCAGGUGACAGGAGCCCAAUAAAGUCCCACUCAGAGCUGAAGUAGUAACCCCAGAGAAAGAAUUAUUAGGAAAAUAUUGAAUAGUAAAGAUGACAGGGCAUCUAGAGAACUGUAGACAUUGAGAUUUAGCUGAUACUUUACCAUCUUAAUCUAUGGCAGUGCAAACAUUUGCUAGACUUCUGUGGUCAAUGUAAAAGGGUGUUGUUCAUUGAUGCACCUUGUUCAGAUUUGAAAGACAUCAUUGCAGUCUACUUUCUUUGGUCUUACUAAAUUCUCAGGUGUUGCAUUGACUUCAUAAAAAGUGUGUAUAGACAACAUUAAAGUAUCACAGAAGCAUUUACUUUUGCCUCUUGGCUGAUGUGAAAUUCACAGUUCUAAUAGAUGUUUAACAUACAAAAAGUUUGAUAAAAUUUGUGAUUUGCUGUUGAUUGUACUUCUAACUAAUAUAACAGGAAUAAUUUCCAGGUUGAUGUUUGUUUUUUAUGUGCCUGUUUCUAUUCUUUUUAAGUGUACGAGAGUAGUUGAAAGUCUGUAUUUGAAAUUUUCAGAUACUUUCUAUAGAUAUCUGUUUUCAGUUCCUUAUGACUUUGUUAAAGUUUAAUAAAUUUAAGCAGGCAUUUUCAAGAAGAGAUUUUAGGCCUAUGCAGAACAUUUCAAAAAAUGGUUCAGAUGAAAAACCCUGACAUUUCUGAUGACUAGGCUAGGGAAAAAGUAUUCUUAUAUCCAUGUUGGAAAAAAAUGUUCAGUUUUACAUUGAAAAGCUUUUUUUUUUUUUUUUUUUACUUAAAAUUAAAUAGCUUUUUAAUGGCAGUAAUGUGAUGUACCCAGCUUCAGUUACAGUAUAAAAGGUACAAAAAGGUACUGGCUGGGUAGAGAAGGGAAGAGCAGUGGACGCUGUCUACCUUGACUUCAGCAAGGUUUUUGACACCGUCUCUCACAACAUCCUCAUAGGCAAGCUCAAGAAGUGUGGCCUGGAUGAAUGCAUGAUGAGAUAGGUCAUGAGCAUGGAUGGCAGAGCUCAGAGGGUUAUGAUCAAUGGUGUGAAGUCUGGUUGGAGGCCUGUAGUUAGGCUGAGUCAGUAUUAGGUCCAGUCCUGUUCAACCUGUCCAUCAGUGACCUGGAUGAAGAGACUGAGUGCACCCUCAGCAAGUUUGCUGAUGAUACUGAAGUGGGAGGAAAGGCUGACACACCAGAAGGCUGUGCUUCCAUUCAGUGUGACCUGGAAUGACUGGAGGACUUGGCAGAGAAGAACCUAAUGAAGUUUAGCAAGGGCAAGUGCAGGGUCCUGCACCUGGGGAGGAAUAACCCCAGGCAACGGUACAGGUUAAGGGUGGAUCUACUGGAAAUCAGCACUGCAGAGAAGGACUUGGGAGUUCUGGUCGAUAACAGGUUGACCAUGACUCGACGAUGUGCCGUUGUCGCCAAGAAGGCCAAUGGUAUUCUGGGGCCUAGAGCAUCUUUCUUAUGAGGAGAAACUGAGAGAACUGGGUCUGUUUCAACCUGGAGAAGAGAAGGCUGAGAGGGGAAUCUCACAAAUGCAUGUUAAUAUCUCAAGCGUGGAUGUCAAGAGGAUGGCACCAGACUUUUCAAUGGUCCCCAAUGAUAGGAUGAGGGGCAAUGGGCACUGACUGAAGCAGAGGAGGUUCCAUCUGAAUAUAAGGAGAAACUCCUUUACCUUGAGGGUGACAGAGCACUGGAACAGGCCACCCAGAAGUGUUGUGGAGUCUCCUUCUCUGGAGACAUUCAAAACCUGCCUUAACACAUUCCUGUGUCAUCUGCUCUAGAUGUACCUGCUUUAGCAGGUGGGUUGGACUAGAUGAUCUCCUCAGGUUCCUUCCAACCCUAACCAUUCUGUGAUUCUAUGAUAAUUCUUUUUUUCUGUUUGUUUGUUUUUCAUUUUUACAAAUAUCCUUGUGUAGCUCAGUAUUGAACAUGAAAUUUUUUGGGACUAAAUUCAGGACUUCUGCAGGUCGUUGCUCAGCUCACGUAGAACAAACUUCUUGGAACUGGCCACUAUCCAUUUGCUGAAUUUUCAACAGAAGAUACCAGCACACAUUUUGUGAAACUUUUACAUUGAUGCAGCUGCAUAGGACAUAAUGUACAACUGCCAAGUUCUCUGAAAUAUCCUGUGCUAGGUGUUUCCAACUGACUACAACAAAUUCUUGGCUAUUUUAAAUUAUUUUGUUCUUCAUUGCUUUUUGACUCAGCUUCUUAUUUAUAAAGUCAAGAAUUUAAUCUCACUGAUGUGCUGUAAAGAGAAAUAUAUUAACUCUGGUAAAGUUCUUAUGGUAAGAGUACAAGAGAAAUAUGUGUGAAGAAACUAAUAAUUUAACAUUCAGCUCAGGGUUUAAAUGUUAUACUUAAUUAGGCUAGAGAUACAUAUUAUCCUAGGGCAAAAGUAAGAUUGAAUGCUAGAAGGAAAAUUACAGGUGUUGAAAAUAACAUAUCAAGCUACAGUUGCAAAUGAUAUCAAAACACAUGAAUGUAAGAAUUCUAGCCACAUCAGCUUUGAGAAGUUUUGACUAAGGUCUGAAUUUUACACUUUAGAUUACUUUUUUUUUUUUUUUUUUUUUGCUAUUAGUCUUAGUAUUUCUGUAAAAUACAGAUUCACAGAGUAUGAGAUCUCUGGCUCUUGCAGUUCCUAUGACAACACACCCAGCUCACGGUUCCUAUUAUUUUCUAAUCUAGUCAGGAGGUCCUUUUUCUUCUUUUUCUGGUUUACCUAUUUCACAGUAAAAUCAGUUGAUAUACAGAUAACUAACAGAGAUUGCUUGCUUGUUAAACCUAGAACUCAUAGCAUCAACUAGGAAUAUUAAAUGCUAUAGCUACAGCCGUUCAUUUCAGUGCCAUGGAUGUACAAAGAUGUCAGUAUCAAACCAUUCCUGUGUAUUAAUAGAAAGUGUGUUGCCUGGGUCACUUCUGAGCAGUGAAGCUGUGUAUGCAUUGACUCAAUGGACAUUAAGUCAUUUGUUGCUUCUCUGAAAAACUGAAGCAGUGUUACUCAGUUGUUGCCAGUUGAUUUUGGAGUUGAAGUCUUGACUGAUUUAUUAUUUGAUAUCUUCUCAAUUUGAAGCAUUAGGAAUAACACUUGUUGUGAUAAAAUGAUAAUUAAUUAAGUAACAUCAGAAUGACAUAGUCUCUUAACAACAGAGAAAAAUAUUAUCAAAAAUUCUCAUAUAUCAAUGGGGCCUCUGUAAUACAUUUUUCCAGGGAAGGGAUAGACAUAGUUCACUUAUAAGCUUUCUUACAGCAAAACAACAUUUUCCUUGCAAUAAAAAUAGCUUUACUGAAAAAAACCUGACAUUAUAGCAUCUUGGCAUGCAGUUUCAAAAUCCCUGUCUCACUUCCUGGGUUCAAAAUCUUUUUCUAUAGUGGAAUAAGCUGUGUAAGAUAAUUAACAGAUGUUGCCAGUUGAUUUUGCAAUAGAAAUUAUAAUGAAAAAUCUAGGUGAUGCUACUCUGACUGUGCUGAAUUUUUAGGAAUAUGAGCUAGAAGAAAGGCUGCAAAUUUUUGUUGUCACUAUGUCAUUUUUUGAGAAAGAAAAUUAUAAUUUGAAACUGUUUGGGUUUAUAAAAUGAAAAAGAGCCACAACUAAAUCUUGACUAACUUUUUUUCUUUUCCAUGUCCGUGUUAAUCUAAAAGUCAUUACUAACUGAAAAAUGACCUUAUUUGCAUAUAUCAGGGUAAUUAUCUCCUGCUUUGGUUUAUUCAGUUUUCCACUGUUUUAAUUGAACAGUGUAUAGAGGUAUUCAAUGUUUGCUAAAGGAUGCAUCAUAAAAGAGACAUUAUAUGUUUUAACAUCUGUUGAUAUCUAAAAAGCUGAUUAUCUUACAAACAUCAGGGCGGUUCCAUUUCACUCUUUCUAAUUCUAAUAUAACCUGGAAAUAUUGUUUGACUGAGAUCUUUAGCUUGUUGUUUGUAUUCUCUUAAAUCUUCAUUAGGCACUUGAAGUUGUUUUCUUUAGAUGUACUGCAAACAAAGCAAACUCAGCUCACUUUAGACACAGUUUCACCCCAUUUUAUGGCCUGUGUCAGACACAUCAUAUGAUCUCUAUGCUUUAGAGUUACCAGUCCUAGUCUUUGCUACAGUCUUUGCACCCAUGUUACUCUAGCGUAGCCACUUCUGGAAUGCACCAACCAACAUGCAUUGCACUGGGAACACAUGCAAAGUAGUACUAUUGCAUUACCGUUUUAGUUUUAAAGCAUGGUAUUGUAAUUGGUUAAUAUAUGAGCUAUACGGAAUGGAAUUGCCAUCUGAAAUGUUUAUGAAGAAGUCACAGGCCUUCCCCUUCUCCUCCUCCUCAUAUGAUUGUGAAACAGCAGGCUCCAUAUGAGACCACAUCUGAUAUAAUGCCAGCACCUCUAGUGCUCCUCACUUCUUUUGUUUGUUGUGCUCAAGAAGACACGAUAUGAUUUUAGUUGUGUCUUAUUCUUCAAGGCUAGGUUAGAUUAACCACUGCUGCGUGACCAGAUCCUUCAUGCUGGUAGAAAUAGUAAUCUAGAACUUUCAGAAUAUGGAAACUAAUUCUACAGACACAAAUUGGUAAGUCUGCAGGUCACAAUGGAUUGCAUUUGCAACCAUGUCUGUAGGGAGGAUAUUUUGGAUCUUGAGAAAGUAGUGAUUUAAAAUAAGAUCACAUUGAUUCACAUACGUGCUAUGACCAUCAGUAGAUCUGGACAUCUAGAUGAAGAGAGUAACAGCCGAGAUCUUUCCGCAUGCGUUAUCAGCACAGGUGUACACUAUCAAUGUAGAGUCUUGUAGCCUGUUUGUUCUAGUAUCUGGAGUGUACCUUAGGACAAGCAAGUCUACUAUAAGCAUGAUUGUAGCUUCCUUACCUAUAGUUUAUGGCUCCUGAAUUGUUGAUAACAUAUAAAAGUAGCUGAGCUCCCAAAAUAGGGAUUUGUGAUGUUAUAACCGUGGAAAAAUAACCAUCAACUUUUUGAUUCAACAGCACAACAGAUAAUUAUGACAUUUCUCAAAGUGAAAGGAGGAGAUUAAUAUCUCAGAGUACGUUUACUCUAUUUUUAAAAACCUGUAGUUUAAUAGUUCCAGAUGCUUUACUGUUCUGCACACUUUGUGUCCUAAAUACAUAGUUCCUUGUAAUCUUUCUAUCUUCCAGUCUUCUGGCACCACGUUUGGUCAAGAAAUGCCUGGAUUUUCUAUAAAGUGCACCCACAAGCAAGACGACAAAGAAUGACUGAGUAUCAUCAGUGAUGUGCACAGAUUGCAAAGAAUCAUUGACAACAUGAUGAAACUAACAGAGAGAAUUCCACUAAAAUUUGCAUUAGGAAGAGAAAGUUCAAUCAUUCCAUUGGACUUCACAUUGGCUUGUGAACUGGACCAGAAAGAGUAACUCCUGCAGCAUAUAUCCCAGAAUCUUUACUGAAAAUUUCAGUACUACAAGUACCACUUGCAAGAGAAUUUCCAAGCCCUUGAUGUUAUCCAAUACAUUUAGGACAAGCUUUUCCACUUUCUCGUCAUUCAUAUUUAAUAGUUGUAACCUUAAAAAAGAAAGUCUUCCUUGGUUUAAACAAAUUGAUUUUGCCGACUAGGGUAACAGAAGAGGACAUUAGCAUACUCAACACAUAAAAUGAUAAUGGCUACCACUUAUUAUUAGCCUUACAUUUCUUUGCUAAGGGUAUGUGGACUAUCUAACAAAACUCACAAAAGCAAUAGAACUUAUAGGAUAUACUUUAAUUCUGUUUUAAUUAAAUUAUUCUACAAAAUGUUUUGCAGUCCAUAGGGUGAUGCCCCUGCUCUUUUUCAUGCACUAUAGGGAGAGACUUGUGUCUUCAUUUCCCUGUUUUGCAGGUUUAAAUUAGUCCCAUAGUGUUACAUUUGUUUUCUCUAUUUUUCUGUGAGUUUCCUUAAGUACAUGACAGAGAACCUACCCCCUCCUUUUGUGGAUUCACCCAGUCCACCAAGAGCAGGAGGAAAUCAGCCCACAAUGAAAAUUCACUUCAUGAUGUUUUGCAUCUUGAUUUCAACUAGGAAAGAUACUACAUAAGAAAACAGCUGCUUUCUAAGUGAAAGGUAAGUGCCCAGCACACACACUUUACAUACUGCUUGUGUCAUUUGGUCCUUUUGUACACAGAACUUUGAGUCAUGUACAUUGUUUCUUUUCUCUUCUAGUCACUUUAAUUCAAAUCAAAUAACUCCUUCCCUUAUUUUUUUUUUUCUUAAUUAAAAACAGCAGUUAAAAUCUUCACAUCCUUCCUAUUGAGGUUUGUUCAAGUCUGUUUCAUGUGUUGUUAUAUAUGUUAGUGUAUUUUUGAAGACUGGAAAAUCACUUGACAAAAACCUACAGAAUCUGAUGGGUAACAAUACUAUGUCUCAUAAUAAACCUCCUGGACUAACAUAUACUGAUGGUGAUGUACUUAAAAUUUUACAGCUUGACUCAUAGUUCUAGAUGGUGGGAAUUUGUGACAGGUAUCAUGAUACAUAUAUGUUUUUCACUAGCAUUCUACAUUAGAGACAUUAACUUAGCUUAUGUAAUUUCUUCAUAGGUGAUCUAAUAACUGCUGUAUUUCUAAAUAACUCUUGGACUCUGAACCACAGUUAUUACCUAAGCAGCAGAAUAGAAGUGACUGGUGACAGACAAGAUUCAUUUUCCAACCAGGCUCUGGCUCUCUAUUGCUCUCCUGCUGUCACGCUCUGCUGGAGCAAGGAUAUGGGAGCAAUGUCAAUAGCAGGGGCAUGUUCAAGUUAAUUGCAGGUGCUGUUGCAGAGCAGGGUAAGGAUUAAACAAUGAGUUAAGGGAGUACUCUGGGUUUCCACUGUCUUCUGUUUAGAACAUGUUUUGAAGGUAGUUUUGGAAUAUUCUCUUGAACAGAGACAGAAACAGGAGUUGAAAAUUUCAAUAAGUAUGAAAAUUGGAAAUGGAAACUGGGUGUUAACUUGAGAAUCUGCAAAUGGAUAACUCAGUAAGGAGAGAAGAGAAAGGAAGAUCUCUUUAAAUUUCCAGUUGACUAAGAUAUUUUCUAAAAGAGAAUUAAACUUAAAAGAAAAUUGCCUUAUAUUUGUACUUACUUAAACUUUACAUUGAUCUCACUGAGAGCUUUUGACUGCUCAGCAGGCACGUAGUGCUGAAUUUAGCGGUCUCACUUUGAGUACAAAUGCAACAUUUUUGUCCUUUAUUUUAUCUUGAAUUUUGCUCCAUUUGACUCCAGUUUUAACACUUUUGCCCUUUUUCUUUAUUCAUUUAUGAUCAAUAACCCCUUUUGAGCCCGCAGAUUUGACGACGAACUUUUAAGAUUUGGUAAAUUAUGUUCAUAAACAUUUUUUCAUCUUGUUCCCUUUUUCACUCACAAUACACAACAUGAGCAUACAAAAAUCUACAAGGUAGAAAGAGUCAAUAAUAUCUAGCUGCAAAAGUGACUUUUGUUUGACAAUUUUACUGAAGACUGGAGGGAUAUAUAAAUAUACAGCAGACAAAUGGGAUCCACAGGGACCCCUUUAAGAUCUUUAUGAAUAUUUGAAAGGGCAUCUGGAUCCAUAGCUGCACAGGGCAAUCAAUUGCUAUGAAUUUUUAUUUCCCCAAGCACUCAAAGGGAAUGGCAUGACAGGUAUGUAUUACCAGCAAGCUUCAUUUAAAGAAACAUGGGGCUUAUUUUGAUAAGGCCAAGGGAGAGAAAAAAACUCAUCCAUAAUAAUCUCAUUUAAAUUUAGGCUGGCAAAGCUGGUUAUUUAAUUACUGCAAUUAUUGUAAAACUGAAUGCUUCCUACUAGUUUUAGAUGCUGUAUAGUCUUUUUUUGAAUUCCAGCACUGCUUCUUUGCAAACUUGAAAAGCAGUCUCAGGAGCUUACAGAAAUGAAUAAUGAAAAGAAACCCUUUUAUGAGAAUUGAAAAUCAAAUUAGAAAUUGAGAUUUUGAAGGUGUCCUUCCAUCCCUCUAUAGAGACUACUUUUCAAGAAACACCAAGGGAGAAGAUUUCAGUCUUUUAAGCUUAUCUUGACAGCCACCAAAUAUUUCGAAAUCAGAUAUUUUGUGAGAAGCACGGAGAAAUGUUAUUGUGUCACUGGAAAUCCCAUUGUCACUGUCAUUCAUGUAUAACUUUUGUGGUACAUAUAUGUAAUAAACUUAAACACAGAAAUAUUUACUCACAUCCAUAAUAAAACUGUAAGAGAAGGCAAUAUUAGAUUUGUUUAAACUAAACAGUAUCACAAGGUACGUUCUAUUUUUUUAAUUUUUUUUUUAGGUCUGGUCAGGUCCAAAAUGUUGUUCUUAACAAAGUCCAGGUUCAAAUAGUGUAGAAGCAGCUACAGUCAAGAGAUGGAAAAGGGGUAAAUGUACAACAGAGGUACAAUAUAGUACAUACAGUUUAGAAAUAAAGACCGUGGUUUGGCUGUGUGGGUACUCAACCACAUAUAUAAUGAUAGAUGUAGUGUAUAUGCAGUUUGCUUCUUUGAGAUCUUAAAUUCACUCCCACAAAUCCCACUGUUUAAUCAGCCAUGACAUUACUGGCUCUAGAACAGAACUGUAGAAGUCACAAGUUGAAGGACUUGAUGCAGAAGGUGUCACAGUUAUUUUAAGUUACCCUGAGACACACACUCUUUUGUGCCAUUUUUCAGCUAGUGCAAUUUCAAGAAGGCUAUAAUCUAAAACAUAUUACUAGUGUGUAAGUUGCAAAUCAUGUAAAAUAGUUGGUAAAUUCUAAGAAGCAAGUAAGCAGAGAUUAACAUAUGGAAUAAAAUGUUUGCUUGGUGAUUAUUCCUUAUCCUCAGGGCGUAAGCUUUUUUACCCCAAAAUCAGUUCUCUUGGACCUUGGACUUAGAGACAACAGUUUGUUUUUUUUUGCUUUUUUUUCUUUACAGUAUUUCUUAUACAGAGGCAAAUGGCCAUAAAAGGUAUUGAAUCCAUUAUAAACUUGCAGAAUAUCUCAAAAUCAACUUAGUUUCUUGCCACUUACCCAGAUUUACCCAGAUGAGUUCCAGAAGCACUAAUUCUAUAAAAGUACUAUUUUUUUCUUUAUUAUUUAUUAUUCCGCACCCCCCGGCCCUCCCCACCCCCCCAAAAAAAAAAAAAGUAGAAUAUGGAACAUAGAGAUCAGUGGUUUUAAUUUAAGUGGAGAAGAAAAUUUAGCCUGGUAGUUAUUGUUUCUGGAUAUCAUGUCCUGAGGUUUCACCUCAAGCUUUUUUUUUUUUAAUUUUUGACCUACAGAUAGCCAUUAAAAGAUUAUUGACUUAUGUAUACAUGAAAACCUAGUUCAAUACUCACAGGUAUGAGUGAUUCAGAGGUCGUCCUGAUUUAACAACAAAUGAGCUAAAAAAAAAAUAUCAAUUACAGAAACUUUUAAACACCUUUUUCCUAAUUUAUUUUAAUGAAUUAAUGCAUUGGAAUUUUAGGGUAAUGUUUUUAGUAAAAAAGAAAAAUAUAUAGAAUACAAGUUUCCUUGCAUUUCCAUAACAUAAACGUUGUUCAGUUAAAUGCUAGGCAUUUAUUGUUUGUGGAUACUGAAUUUAAGAUUUCAAUAUUGAGAUUGGCUAAUGUUUGUACUGAUGGACUGGAUACUUUGCUGCCUCAGUUUGUUAGUAGUUUGUCGCUGAUUUUAAUGUCUCAUGUUUUGAGUAGAUGACUAAAAAUGGCUUGGAUACUCAUAAAAACUUCUGUAUGCUCAUUAUUGUCACCUCACUUUAGCUACUGAAUUUCCCUUUGAGGAAAUUACGUAAGUAAAAUUAUGAAUAUGUGAUAUUUGUAGUGUUUAAUAUUAAGGUCAUGACAAUCUAAUGAAGUCACUGGGAUACUAGCCUGAGAAAAGCAUACAGCAUCAGACUUAUUUCCAAGGUAAGAAUAACAGAAUUCCUUCCAGAAUUUAUUGCAUCAAUUAAAGAAAUUGCAUUCUUUAAACAAGUAGUAGGUAAAAUGAGGUAUUUUUCUUUUCUUAGCUAUGAUAAAAUAUAGUUCGGCUCAUACAUAAUAGUAGAAAAUUACUAUGUGGUCUGGUUCUUUAAAAAAUCCCUUUUUAGAUUUAUGAUGUAGCUUUAUUUGAUGAAGUCAGUUAUCUGAAGACCACAACAAAAGCCUUCUUGUGGGACUAUCACCAUACUGCGUCUUUAUUUAUGUAAGUAUGACAAAGGACCUCUGCUAUCCUUUGUGUAAUUAAGGAAAUCAGUAGAUAGAACUCACCUGGCAUUCUGGAAGAAGCUAGUUUAGGAGUUACAAAACAGCCAGGGAACUCAAAGGAAAGCUGAUAAAUUAAAAUAAAUUUGCAACCCAGAAAAGAGGAAGAAGAAAUUCAGUUUUAUUUUCAGGGACAAUUUACUCAAAAAUGGGUAGUAACGCAAUGUACCUACUAGGUAUACAGGCGGGUUGUUUCUUAAACAGGAGUGGACAAUAUUGCAUGCCUUGCUGGGAUACAGAGGGUUUUUUCAUUAGUUUUUCCCUUGUUCGUCAGGUAGACAUGUCCUCUCUUUUUGUUAGACUAAGCACAGAGAAAUGUUGUACUGAUGUGGCUGUGAUACUGUUUUGGUUGGCAGGAAGCUGAAGAGACUCAAAUCUCUAUACUCGUUUUCAGUCUGGAUUUCUUAGCUGCAUUUGAAUAUUCCUUAGAAUUAGGUUGGUCUUUCAAAGCCUUGAAAAUCUCCCUCCUGCAAAUGACGUGUUGUUUUUUUUCAUACCCUGAAGGUUCAUGCUCAGGCCUCAAGAUUGUUUUCAUUGUUCUCUUUUUCUCUAAAAUAGUUAAUGAAAACCUAUGCUGCAGGUAAUAUCUGACUCCUAGUUAUCUUCUUGGAGUAUACAGCAAAGAAAUAAUUGAUUUGCUCUGCCAGGUAGCCUUCUUUUUCUCCAAGCCUGCUCUGUUAAAGUGGACAGGCACCAAAGUGAAGCAAACCUCUGCUGUCGACUCUGUGCUCUCGUCAUCUUUCCCUCCUGAUCUUUGUCUUAAAAGAGGAGACAAUACAGCAGAGAAGAAACACAUGAAAUGCUGCUUUAGUCAGAUGCAAAUGGACAGGAAGAACCUGUGCCAAACCCUUGUGUAAGCUCUAUAUGGAGAAAUUCUGCACACCAGGAGUGUGUAUGUUUGUAUACAUAUUUACAUGUUUAUAUAAAUGUUACGUAUAUAAAAAGACAGGAUGGUGGAAAUGAAGAGCAAGAGACAAGGAAAAUCCCGUGGCAUCUACACACAGUAAAGACAAUAAGUCAUUAAAUACUUUACAUAUCCCAGUAACAGCAGCUGAGUCACUAUGGUGAUACUCUACUACCCAAACAGAGAAAUUUUGGAUAAAACUUUCCACAAGCUAAGCUUUUUUGUUUUGUGAUCCACAAAAUAAUGUUAAAUUUUAGUGUAUUCAUAAAUAGUACCAGGUUUACUGCUUAUUUAUGAUUGGUCAUAAAUAUACAUAAUGAAUUAUGUAAUCUGAGAAGAAAUAACUAUCUCUUAUAAACUAUUAAUUUUUGUGGACCAUAGUUCACACUCUAUGGAUAUAAUUUGCAAGUCUAAUGCAAGACAUCUCCCUCCUGCCCCAUCACCCUGCCCUGGUUCUGUCUUAUUUACAAGUGUCUGGUUGAAUUAAUAAAUAAACAGUAGCUGAAAUCUUUCAUUUUAAUUAGAAUAAAGUGGCAUUGGUAUACCAAUGUUUGGCAAAGAGAUCCGAGGUGCUGUCAGAUGGGGAUUAACACUGAAACAAAGAUUUGAAUAAAUACGUGGUACUUCAAACCAAGUUCGCUAACCACACAUGAGAUCACUUUUUCAGAUAAGGCUCUUGCAUUUAAUAUGAGAUAGUACAACCGUGCUGUUUGAACUGUAAUAAAUGGCUCAGUGCAUGUCUGCUGGGACAUAAGACGACAAGAUAUUAUUCUUCACCCCAGAACUGUCAAGCCUGAUUAUUUCCUAAGAAGCUUGACAGCUUUGGGAGUGAUAAAAGGAAACCUCUGUAGCAAAGAGAGGAGGAAGGAGAAUAGGGGAACUUUUUGCUGGUGUUUUCAUGUUCCCACUGGAAAUAAUGCAGAGCCUGUGUAAUUACAGUUGUUUGUUUGGGUUUUUUCCUCAUGGAAAACAAAUCUAGGAAAAUGGCAUUGGCCAUAGAAAGGAGUGGCUUUUACUGUUAACAUCUUAUGUCUGCAAAGGUUAGACAUCAAGAAAGCCGUAGUUAAUUUAUAGCAGAGCUAAUACAAGAAGCCCACACAAAUAGACCGCCUAUGAUCUCAGUGGAUUUGUCACUGUCUGGACACCAGGCCGGUGAGGUCCCUGUGACAGAGCUUGGCUUCCAGUGGCUGUGGUUGCUCAUGUGCAAGCAGGGUGCGCUGCUUUGCUCUCAAGCUUUGAACAUGGAGCAGGCUUCUCAGGAGCUUUCUGGCCAAGCUAGCAAGAGUGUGCAUGUGGGGUCCUGGAAGAAUAGAGAGGGCAGAUGCCAGGCUCUCGAGGGGGAUGAAACAGGUGGUGGGAGAUGGCAGUCAAGACCCAGAUCCAGUGGCUACAGCAAGGUUAGAUCUUGCAGGACUUUGACAUUGUUGAUGUGUCAUGUAUGGCAAGAAUGUACAAACUGUUAUGGGAACAGUGGGUACAGGCCAUGUCUUUGCUAGUAGGUGGGCUCAGCAUAUUUUUAUGUAAUAUUGGAGGGUGUGUACUUGAAACCUUGAUACUUAUUUUUUUUCUCCUGAAGCAAGCAUGAAAUUGCUGGUUCUUCAAAUAUGCAAGCUCCCUGAAAAGAGAAUGACGACAUUUUUCCUUGGGUUUUUCUGGCCUGAUUUCUUAUUUCUUUUUAUGUCAAGAAAAGUAGCUUCUCCACUGUUCUUUGAUUCUUGCUGAUUUUUUUUUGGCUCUUAUAAUUGUCAGGAAAAUGAAAGGUCACUGAGGAUAUUCUAUGCCAUGUGCCAAAGUAUAACAGAAAUUUAAAUUCACUAUUAAGUGACAAUGAAUAGGGAGUUUAACAGAGCAGCAAGCAGCAAAAGGACCUUCAGAAGUGCAUAGAACGGCAGGGAAAGGCCUAUUAAGUGGGGUUUUAUCAAGUUGGAAAGCCUUAAGACUAUAUGAGUAUGAAUAUUGGCCACAUUCUUUGAACCUAAUUGUAGAUCAGCAAAAGGGAAGUAAGGGACCUGUAGGAUGCCUGUCCCAGGUGUACUGUCGUAUUGGGAGAUGAGAAGUAGCCAAGUCUACAUUAAGUCCUGAGAAGCAUUAGGGGUUGGUGAAAAUUUUGUUUGCUUUUCAAAAGCAACUCACCCAUACUAAAUAAUUUCUUGAUUCUUUUGUGGCAGCUAGUUGUCAUAACAUAAAAAUGUUCCAGUAAAUAUUUUUGUUGUCAAAGCAUUAAAUUGUAGGCUAAUCAAACUUUCUCAAGAUACAUAAUUAGAUUAUGGUUGCUAGACACUGGAAAAAAGACUUCUCAUCUCUAAUGUGGCUGAGCAAUGCUUUGUGUGUGUGUGUGUAAUAAUUGCAAUAAAAUUUAAGCUAUAUCAAUCUCUUUCUUAUAGGGCUUCCAAGAAGAAAGAAUAAUUCAAAGACUGUUGUAAAAUAAUAUUAAGAAUAAAUGAAAUAAAAUUAAUAAAACAAACAUGGUUUAGAGGAGAAAAGUUUCUGGCUCUCAAUUGGUGAAGGGGGUCCCAGGUAAUGCAUCACUACUCUGGUCCAUGUAAGCAUGUCUGUACAAGAAAAGAAGUAGAGUCUGAGCAGUGAUAAAAAACAAUAAAAAAGAAAUAUGAAGAAUACAGCUGUAGUAAGACUUCAGGAAACAUUUUGUGAAUUAUAAUAUUUCAUUUUGCAACUGAAAGACUCAUUUAAACUCUGAGAAGGAAAACCCUAAUUAUUUUUAUGAAUUUAUGUGUUAGUGUUUUCCAUGAAAAGAACAGUAUAACACCUGCUUUUCUCCUGUUCCUUUUGUACUGAGUUGGACAGGUUGAUUAUGUGCCUUUAGCUUUGGAUAGAGAUAGUCAGCCUGAUGAGAUCAUAUGUCCUUGCCUCCUACAACACUCAUAACUUCACUAGAUAAUUUUAAAGCUUUGAAUUUUUGCUGUGGAAAUAGGGUAUUUAUGAGCAAGAUGCACUCUUCUGAAUUUAAGAGUUCAAACAACACAGAAUCCAUUAGAUACCUAAAUAGUUUCCUUUAUUGCAGAAACAAAACACAGCAGAAAGUCAUGCUCUAUUUCCCAGCUUUGACAGAAUCAGGUUUAAUGAAUGUCUGGCUUUAGUUUUUCAUCCACUUGUAAAACUAUGCUUGUACAGCACUUGUGUAAGAUGACUUAGGCCUCUUCAGAAGUAGAUAAUCACUAAAUACACUUCUAUUCUUUUCACUUGGCAGGAAGACUAGAAGUCUGAUUACUUUCUCAAGAAUAUUUUUUCAACAUUGUUUUAAACAACUCUACAGCUGAAAAGCUGGGGAGCAGAAAAAUAUAAUUUGACAUUACACUGUUGUUUUUUUUCUGGAGGAAAGGCACCUUUUGAAUUGUCUUAUGAGAAGUGAUGUAUGAGAUAAGGAAUAUCAAAGAUUCCUCAACUAAUAUAUACAACUAAUAUAUGUAGUGUGUAUAUACAGUUAUUUAAGGAAACUUUGAGAACCAUGAGUAUUAUAAUUAGUAUGAUGUUUAAAAUAAUAUUCAGAAAAAAUAUGUAAAGAUAUAUAUGACUACAGGCUAAUUUAGAUGCAGAAAAUAUUUAUGAUGAUUAAGACCGGAAUCUCUUUGAAUCUCAUCUUUAUUUAUGAUGUAUUUUACAGUGGAUGGAGCAAAUUAUUCUGUACAUACUUUUUGUUGUUGUUGUUGUGGUUUUGCAUUUUUUAACAUCACAGUAGUUGCUGAAGUGUUUCUCUUCCAUAUUUCAGAAAGAAGAACUGAUUGAGGCAGUCCUUAUACUUUGCAAAAUAUUUCCACCUCACCACAUUUCUUUAUUUCCAAAUGUCAUACUUUAAUAUUAUAUUAUAGCAAUCUAACCAGGAGGAUAUUUUGACACUUCUUGGGAUGUACAGUCCACCAAGCCCAUAGAAUAAAGUUCAGGGAUAAAAGCAAAACUGUUAUUCCUGUGAAAUUUUUUGGUAGUUUGGGUCAGGUGAUGUGUAAUUGAAAAAAAAAGAAAAGUACCACCAAUACUGAGAGACUGAGUGCUUAUCCUGAAAUUCAAUUGGUUUCCCUUUUACAUUAAAAAAAAAAUAUAUAUAUAUAAUUUCAUUAAAGAUAUCCUACUUAAAAAAAAAAAUACAGAAAGCUCUUGAGCACCUUCAUUUAUGCUAUAAUGAUACACUGGUUUGAGAUGGUUGCUUUUAUUGCAGCAUUCUAUUUUAUAGCUUGAAUUCCUCAUUGCUCUGGAAUGGAUUGCAACGUAAAUCCUAAAAAGGCUGAAAGCAAAUAGAAAUCUGGAUUGCCAGAUUUGAAGCUGCAUGUAUGGAUGACAGGCUUCAGAUCCAUUUUGACUUUAAGAAUUAACAGCAGUGAGAAGGAUAUUAUAAUUCUUAAAAGUCCCGGACCUACAAACAAAAGAGAACUGUUAUUGAAGUUUCUGGGUCCUUCAGACUCUGAAAGCUGAGGGUUGUUUUAAAUCAGAUUUUUCUUCUAGAUUUUUUGAGAUAAGCCAGAACCUCAGGUCUUUGACCAACUUCUGAAGCUAAUCUCUGUUUCUCCAUCCUUCUUUCACUCAUUAUUGCAGUUGUUCACCCUUUUUUCUUACUUGCUUUUUCCUGCUCAGACUCACACCUUGUAAGCAUUUUUGAAUUCAAAUGGAAGAGUGUGACUAAAACGUACUGGUUAUUUAAUGGUGUACUAUGUCAGAAAUUCCCAUUUUAUACUGUCAUUUAUAGUGCUACAGUGGAUCUAAAAAAGUUUUCUUGGAUUUGGUGGUUUUCAUUUGUUGGUGAUUGAAUUUCUUUUGUUGUUUUGUUUUGUUUUGUUUAUUUAUUGUUUUUACCUCUACCAUAUCUAUUCUUUAGUGCAUUGGGCACAGAGAACCUUGGCAUUAAUUUCACUCUAAUUGUGGAUUAUAUGAAAGCAAACAUAUUCAGUAUUAUACUAAUAAAUUUGUUAUUAAGGAGAAAAAUUGAGAUAUCAAAUUAAUUUUCUUCAAAAAUGGCAUAAAACGUGCUUCAGUAAAGGUAUAAAACUGAAAAAGGAAAAGCAGGAUUUUCAAUUUGCUUAAGAGAACAGUUAUUUGAAGUCCAUUGACACCUACCUUGAAUGUAUAUUUAACUGAACAGAAAAUGGAGAAAGACAUAGAUGAUGUCUGAUUUGUGCAAUGUAAUAAAUCUAUGACAGUUAUAAGUGGUGAAAAACACUGAAUUAUAAUGGAAAUUCCCAUCACAAAAAUUAAGAUGUCAAGAACUAUUAAUUAAGACCAUAAGAAAUGCAAAGCAGAGAAAUUAUUUAAAUAUAAUUGGCAGUUUAGUAAUAAACAGGAGGCACCACUUACUAGGUAGGAAAUUUCAUAUCAUCUGCAUAUUAAAAUAGUUUUUACUCAUCUACUUAGAUUGACUGAGUGAAAAAUUUGGGGGAAGUCAAAUGGAGUAAAAAAUUACAUUGUACAUUUCUAGAAUAUUGAGAGCUCAUAAAUAAAUGCCUUCAUUAUGGGUCUACAUCUUAGCAAAAGAAACACAAGAUGUGUGGCAGUUGCACAUCCCCCUGAGAUCCGGAGCCUUCAAUAGGGCAGCUGAUGGCUCUUUAGCAUCUUUUGUGCCCUAUUGUGCAUGUCCAAACCUACACAUUGCACCAAGGUGCUGACAGUCACAUCCUCCCCUACCCGGGGGUAGGGUGACUUCACCUCCACCCAACUGGUGGGCAGGAGGGUGGGACCCUCAGUCGAUUGACAGGGUGGUCAACAAAGGAGGUGCCCAGAGAAACUGAGAAGCUUCUGGACCACGCUGUAAUACCCACAGCCAGAUCUGACCAGGCUAUAAAACGGGGUCCCUGCUGAAGACCCUUCUUGUGUGGUCUUCUCGGAGCAGCGGGUCUGUGAACUGGAUCCCUCCUCUUAGAUGGAACGCUGUCCAAGACUUUGCAGGAUUGAGAGCGGUUCACCACCUCCUGUGGUGAGUGGUUGUUUACUGGGUAUAUCCUUGAAUGAGCCCUUGCCCAAGCCAGGCAAGUGUGAGCCCUCGCCUAACCCAGGUAAAUGAUCAUUUUUUGUGGCUAACCUGGAGUGAGAGGCCUCUGCUUUCUUGUUACUUUUGAGUGUAUGUGUGCACGUUGUGGAUCCUCAUUAUUCUUAUGUUGUCGUACCCCCAAAAAUCUCCUCAACUGUUAUCUGAACCUGUAUUGUAUGUUGUUGGAGUGCUAAAAAAUUGUGUUUUUGGUAUAGUCAGUUUAUUGGCCACACUUUUCUAGCUAGAAUAAAGUCCAUUUUGGAACUUGUUGUCUACCUAAAAUUGACUUUUGGGGUGCCUCUGUGACAACAUAACUCUAAUCUGAUAGACACUAUAUCUAGUACAGAUCAAAUCCUGGUAAUGAAGGUAAGUCACACCUGUAAGCACUGAUUUAUAGAAGCAGUGGUGGGGAAAAUCAAUGCUGUUACUGAGACUUCAGUCCAGGUUCCUUGCUUAGUAUCUCUUACUUACAAGGCCCCUAUCACCUGCUGAACUUAGAGAUGUCAUUAUGCACAUAGAGAACAAAGGCCGAAACAGAAGUGUAAAUAUUUGGCACUUCACAAGCUAAAUUAUUUUGAUGCAAAUCAAGUAGGAGGAAAAGUUGAAACUAGGAAGUAUCAAUAGUAAUUGAGAAAUAUCUGACAGCAUUAAUUCUUAAAAAAAAAAACCAACAAAAUUCCAUAUUAAAAGAGCCUCCAUACUGGCUUUAAAAAUUAGGAUAUCUUUAAGGCCACAAAAAAUGAAAGUUAGAUUAAUAUUUUGUAGUGAUUUUGGCUGGCAUAAAUUUAAUUUUCUAUAUAGCAGCUUGUACAGUGCUGUUUUGGUUCCAUGAUGAAAACAGCAUUGAUAACUUGGGGAUGUUUUUGUUAUUGCUGAGCAGUACUUACACAGGGUCAAAGCCUUUUCUGCUUCUCACACCACCCCACCAGCAAGUGGGCUGGGAGUGCACAAGGAGUUGGGAGGGGACACAGUUGGGACAGCCGACCCCAACUGAUCAAAGGGAUGUUCCAUACCAUAUGGCAUCAUGCCCAGCAAUGAAGGCCAGGGGAGUAAGAAGGAAGGGACAGAUGCUCAGAAUACCUGACUGUUGAUGGAAUUCACACAACCUGAUGAUGAAAAACGAAGAGCAAGAGGGUUUUAUCUUCGGAUAACCUUUUGAUGUCUUACCGUCAUCUGUUUUUCUAAACAAAUGUAGCAUUAGUUUGGUAUCAUUGGUUCUUGUGAAACUGGAAUAAUGCCUUCCUUUGAGCUUCCCAGUGACAAUAUGCUCCUGCUUUCUGCCUUCCAUUGAAAAUUUCAAAAGUGGGCUGCCUUCUUUCUCUGUAAAAGUUUAAGAACUUUGAAGGGUAAAGUAAUCCUAAGGUUGACUUAAUAAAAAGUAUGAAAGCACCUGCCAAAGUGUUCAAGAUCAAGGAGAGAGCUGCAAUUUCAAAAGUGAAGCUUUAAAGCUUCAGAGUAUGUGAAGAGGAAAAAGCUUCCUUUAAUCUGUCGUAAAACAUCUUUUGUAGUAGCAAGAAAUAAGAAUAAGACUGAGAACUAAGCAUGACCACAGCAUAUACAUCUGCUUUUGAAUCACUGAAAAUUAGCUGCAAUUCAAGUGAAAAAACUUGUGUUUGGGCAACCAUACCGUCCAAUAGAGAGAAAAAAAAUAUACUGUCCAAUAGAGAGAAAAAAAAAAAAACAACAGAAAAAAAAACAAAAACAAAGUGCACACGCACACAUCAAGACAUAAUUAAACAAAUUUUGUCAAAUAUACAUUGUAUUUUAGUUUAGUUUUUUUUUUCAUUUUUACCCAUGAAAAAUAAAAUGUAUCAGCUAUCCUGAUCAUGAAGUAGUUUAAUGUAGUUCAACAUUAUAUGAAGGCAGAAAAAAAUGGACUUAGUUAUCUGAACAUCCAGUCAGACUUAGUGUCCAGUAUACUUGGACUGCUUAAAAUUUGACCAGGUGUUAGAAGAAAUGAUAAAUAUUUAGAAGAAAUUGCAGACAUAGAAUUUUAGAAGGUCACACAAAACUGGAGUAACCGGAGAACGUCUGAAAAAAUUUAUCAAGUUUGAAGUGUUUUUCUAAAAGAACAACUAUUAAAAAUAUUAGUGAACAAUUGAUCAUCUAGUUAAUUUGUUAAAUUUCAAGUCUGCUUUCAAGUAAUUACUGUAUUGUGUUAUUCCACCCUUAAUUCAAGCAAAUUGAUUUCUGAAACAAGGCCCAGCCUGUUGCAGUUGUCUAAAUGGUUGCUUUGUAUUUUCUUUCCCUUGCUGGUGAUAUAAGGAUAAAAAACUCACAAUGAACACCUCAGUCUACAAACAAUAUUCUGCUGAAAUGUUGUUGGAUUUAUUGAUACCAUUGUAUCUCACUGUAUGCUUAAUUUUUUAAAUAAGAAAUUAGAAUAACUUUUCAUUUACAGGAUGAACCUAUUUUCCACUUGUACUAGAGUUUUUUCCAUUAAUCUCAUGCUCUCUGUGUUUUUUUCUGUAACCUUCUAUCAAUGUUACUUUCAUUUUCUGGUAGAGCCCUUUACAGAUAUUCUGAGACUUAGUGUAUUAAUAAUUCAUAUCAUGAAGCCAUGACUGAAUAUCAAAAUCUGAAGACAAACAGUAAAUUGAGUUCUUUAUACCUGACCUGAGACAAGUAGAUGAAUGCUUUAUUAGUUCAUGUGGGUACAAGUUCUUGCUUUGCAAAGCUACUUAUAGACAUUCAUGACAGAUUUUUCUUCUCUUAACAGGAGUAGACACAAAAACACCAAUUAGUGCACAGGAAUGACUUUGGUCACUUUGGAAAAUGAAUUUUGUAAGGAGUCACAUGCUCAAAGUCCCCAAGAAAGAGUCCAAUGUGACUGACUGCUUAAAUCUGACUGCAUGCAACUUAAGUAAGACCUUUGUUUGUUUAAUUAACCCUCUUAUAAACAGAUUAAUGUACAAUUUAAGUGUAGCCCGGAAAAUACAAAUGCACAAGUGAUUAAGACAUUUAAAUAACAUAAUUUGAGUACCAAGUGAGGAGUUAAUCUAUUCUGAAGAUGUCUUUUUGAGCUUUACUGGGUAUUUUUGGUACACGGCUAGCUGAUGAUUCUAUUGUGGGAUGGGUUGCACUUACUUUGAAGGACAGUGUCAGAACAAAAUGGAAAAAAACAAAUUUCUUAGUUAUAUACCGAAUUCCCUGAUUCAUUUAAGUAUCCUACUCUAGAUGGUUUGUUGCCCUUGGAUGACAGAAGAUACAAGUUCCUGUGAUUUAUUUAAUUUGUCUGACCAGAAAAGUAAGCAAAAUAUUCUGCAGCUUUGAAGUGUGUAGAAAUAUUUGUAACACAGCAAACUUUGUAACAUAGCUAGAGGAUAAGCAAGCUUGUAAAGACCUGCAUUUGCUAUGAAAUUGUAAUGAUUUUCUUAAUGAUCAAUUUAGAAAUGUGUUUAGGUUUCUUCUCCAUCAUUAAUAAUGAAUUUUACAGGUACUGGAGUUUAGUAGGUCUGUGUCUGCCGAGUUCUGUUUCUUCCCUGUCUCCUUAGCUUUAUUACCAUAUUGAAUAAUUUUCUUUUUAAUAUUGUUAAUUUGUCUAUAGUAAAGCAAAUGCUAUAUUAGAGUCACAUCUUCAGCAGAAACUUCUGAAGUUAAUGGGAGACUAUGUUUCUGUGUGGGAAACAUCAUCUGAUAUUUUAGGAAACCUUUUAGUAUACAUCAUUUGAAUGUAUAUCCAUAAAUAUCAUUGUGGAGAACUGAGGAAAGGGUGUAGUCUGAAAUAAUUUUCUAUAGUUCAGAAAUUUUAAUAAUGUUGAAACCAAGUGUCACAGAGAAGAUGGAGAAUCUAGGCAAAGAUGCAAGAAAAGGAGCAGUCAGGAUGCACAUGUUAGGGAGACAAAGACGAAUGAAAUGAGAUAGAGAGUUAUUAUCCACAUAAAAUAAAAAGUGAUUGGAACACUCUGCCCUAUUUAUCAUGUGCUACACCCGCAGGCAGGAUUAUGCUAAAAAACUUGUACUUCUUCUCUGGUGAGAGGGUUUCAAUUUAAAUUCUCAAGUCAAUAAUUUUGUAGCAUUAAAUUUACCUUCAGCUAAAUUAAACAAGUUUUAUUUUACAUUUUAUUUAGAGAGUAAGGAUGGAAAGGCUAUAGAUAAAAAUGUCAAGAGUACAUCUAGAGAUUCUGAGGGCCAAUUCAAAUACCUUACUCCCAAGAGAUGGUGCAGUAAAGCCACUUCUCCAGUAUAUAUCAGGAAAUUUAACAGCAUUUUGUUUCAUUUUUUUUUGCCUCUAAAUAACACAAAUGUACAACAUAAUCAGUCUACAAAGCAAGAUGAUAUCGAAGGAUUAAAAUAUGGAGGAUGAAACUGAAAAGAAAGCAGAUGAACUUUUAAGCUAAGGUGUAAGCAUAGCGAAUCUAGAGAGUAAUCUAUCAUAACAGUCUCUCCUUACAUAGUGGUGUACAGAAAAAGAUGUAGAUAAGAGAAAAUUCUCUAUCCAGGAUUUAAAGCCAGUCUCAAGUCUUCACUUUUUUCAGGAAUGUUAAGCCUUAUGUAGACUAAAACACAGGACCAGGUAUGAUACUUUCUAAAAUGGCAUCCAGCACUUCUCUUAUGGACAGUGAUGUUAUGGACUUAGCCUUAAAAAAAACACAACAAAAACAGACACAAAACCUCCCUGAACAAAUAAAAGCCCCAAACAAAUAAAAAAACCCACCAUGAUCUCUUCAUUUCAGAGAAAGUCAUCAGAGCUCUAACCACCUUCUUCACUUGAUUAAUUUGUAUAUAUGACUUAACAUGUAGGUAGUGAGAAUAAGUCACUCAAAUCCCUCAGAAGAGUUUGCAUAUUUUGUCAAGAUGCUGAGUAACAAAGCUAGGUGUUUACAUUACUUUUCCUGAACAAAGACCUGUUGCUUAUUACUGUGGUGCCUGAUCAUGAUAGCAGGUUGAAACUGUCCUAACAAAGAGGUUUGUAGUUAAUUGGGCACUAUAACCAAUACACAAAUGGCAUUCAAGUACUGUUGUACCAGUACUUGUACUAGUUGUACUUAAAAUACAGGGUUUGGUGAUAGGGUAAUUUAGGAAUGGACAGCAGAAAAUAAUUAAGAAUUUUCAGGCCAAAUCAGUUUUCUGAAUCCAAACCAGACAAUACCAUAAAGGGCUUUUUUGCUACUUAUUUUUUUAUUUUUACAGUUUUCAGCAUUACACAGUGAAAGGCUACUGCCUCUCACGAAACAACUGGCCUGGGGCUAGAGCAGUAAACAUUGUUUUUCACUAGAGGAUAAUGAAGCAAAGGUGUCUAGGUGUCUGUUAACAUGAAAGAAAGAUUAGUGUCUCUUGGUCCUUAAGACUCUGAAGCAGAAACAUAACAUCUCAGUAUUUUUCUUCCCUCAGCAUACUUAUUUUCAGUGGGUUUCAGAGAAAGCUGUGGAAAUGACAAAAUUGACAAGUGGUGCAACUUCUUAGACUCUAUGAUGUCUUGAAUGAGACAUGCUCCUCAAGGGUUGUUUUUUGCUGCUUAGUUUAGGAGGUGAAUGGCAAUAAUCAUAAGAGUAGCAGGCACAAAUAAAAUGUUGAUGAGUACUUCAUAACAACAAUUUCCAUGAAACAGCCUUGACCCUGAUGGAUUACAGAAGCUUAAUAGUUCCCCUAAAUUGUCUGCAAACACCUGAAUAAUGCUGAAGUUACUACAUUUUUAAUCUGGAAAAUGAAGACUCUUUCUAGCUGCUUAGUUUUUUCUAAGUGUGGCCCAUCAGGGAUUUUUGUUGUUGUUGUUGUUGUUGUUGUUGUUAUCCUUUAGGAGUGAGGACCUGACUGCAGAGUAUGGAUUAUUACUUUGACUCAUAAAAUCAAUUAAGAAUGUUAUUUUCUUGUUAAUAGCUAUGCUGUACACAAUAGAUUUAGAAAAAGCUCUCAGAUUUUUGCUUCCUUUUUUCUACACACAAUUAUAAACAUUCUAAAGAAUCAAGCAAUCUUACUGUCUUCAGAAAUCAUGGAUUACUUGAAUCAGUAUUUUGGAAAUUAACUCCUUCCUGAAAUUUCAAAGCAUAGAAGGCAAAAAGCAUGCUACAGGCUUAAGAAGUACUGACUAACAGUGUGAGUAGUGAGAUGGACAGUGGAAAAAAAUCGUUCAGUUAUAUCUACACAUGCAUGCUUUGACCCCUACUGUCAUUUGUUUGAUGUCUACUACAUUUUGCAGUAUGCAGAGCACAAGAAAAGUUUUAACUGAUUUCUUAACGACAAUUCUCCUAACAGUGCAAAACUUUAUUAGUGCUGCAUUGCAGAAACAGCCUUAUAUUGUAUAAACUUUAGCAUAACUGCUUGUCUAAGUUCUAGGGACUGUUGCAGACUUGGAAGGUAACAUUCACUUGCUGCUAGUGUCAGUUCAUUUCCUACUACCCUGGCUUGAAAUCACUUCUCAGCAGGCAAUAAUUUGCUGGUAUUUCCUCCAAUUGACACUGGUCAUGGAAAAGUAACAUUAUAAAGCAUCAUGUGGCCAGAUAGUGCUGUUUUGGAGGAUCUUGUUGAACAUAGGCAGCCCUUUCAGAAAUCUUUUGUCCUUUUGCCAUUUAUAUUGUGUCUGGCUUCAUGUAUUUUUCACAAAAUCUAAAUUAUUUUUUCUUCCCUGUGGUCAUCCGCACUGUACAGGGAAAUAGCUUUUGGUGACAGGAAGAACAGGUGUGGUGGUUUUUUGCUUGUUUGUUUGUUUGUUUUUCCCAAAGCUUUAAUCCUUUUUUUACCUCCUUUAAGCUAGAUGAAAUGUGAAAAUGAAACAAAAAUUUAAAUAUUGAGGUACAGAUGCACGGUGAGAGUAUUUGGGGAACGUUUUCUCCUAUGCCGCAUUUAAAGUAAGUGGGGUACUGACAAUUGCUAUUCAGUUAUCUUGUUAUUUUCAAAAUUUUUUUCUGUGAUUGGUGCAAACGGAGUAUACAAAUACACUGGUAUACUAGGCAAGAGUCAUUUGACAGUGCACCAAUAUAUUUAAAUAACAUUGGAUGUUAUUUAAACUGUAGAACCCAUCAGCCCUUUGGUACUCACAUGACAUAUAUUCUAGUGAAAGUUUUGUGUUCUUAACAUAUUUUUGGAGCAUGGAUGGGCUUUCUUCUUGAAUGAGUAACACUUGGUUACAUCUCAAAAAUAUGUGCAGAUUAAUUAUCAAAUGUAGACCAUUCAACCUCCAGUCACAAAAAUGCAGAAGCAGAGGUGGUUUGAAAGUUAGGGAAUUUAUAAAUUAGUCUAGUUCGUUUUAUAAUUUAGAUCAAAUUUCAUAGACAUGUAUGUGCAUGAAACAUUAUUAUUUUAGUAUUUGUGAUUAUUGCAUUCAGGAAUAUGUCAGGAAUAAACUCAUUACCUGUUUGUUUUAGGGAACUCUGUCCUGACACAACCAACUUCAUUAGCUCAAAUCUUCACUAGUUUGAAUGUGUUGAGGAGCCUUGUGAAAAGAAGCCAUAUAAAAGAAGCUCAGAGGAUUUUUUUUUUUUUUAUCCUUACACAUGUAAACAAACGAUAUACACAUAGAAAACAUUAUGAAUAUCAACUCCUUUUCACAUAGAAAGACUGAGACACAAGGAUAUUAAUUUUUUUUCCAAGUGACUCAUUAUAAGGGUUAAGUUUCAAGUACACACACGUAAAUGUACCUUUCAGUAUGUGCUAUGUCAAUAUUAUAUACAUGACUAAGCCAUAAUUUAAAAAAACUAUCAUUUCACUUCUCACUGUAGUAAAAGAGAUGCUAAUAAAGAUAGAAUUGUACUGCUGUUUUUGAAAUACGGCCAAGAAAUUUAAUAGAAACGUAUGUUGUUACAAUAAUAGGGAAAUAACUCCAAAGAAUUAAAUGUAUAUAUAAUAAAAAAACUUUAUAUUACAAAAUUUUGCAUCAAUAUUAAAAAAAAAAAAUCAAAUUUUCCACCCAGAAGUUUUCAUUUUUAUUUUAAAUAGCCUGAUAGUAAUUCUAGUUUUAUAUUUCUCUUGAUACUUUAAAAAGUCCUGUGAUUUCUAAGUGUAAAUACUUUCAAAGGUAACAGAGAAGACCAGGAAAAGCACUGUAUGAGGACACAUUAUUUUAACAAACCUAGAAAGAAUGUUUUGAUAGUAUUCACAGAUUCAGAUUCACAGAAUGUUAGGGAUUGGAAGGGACCUCGAAAGAUCAUCUAGUCCAAUCCCCCUGCCGGAGCAGGAACACCUAGAUGAGUUUACACAGGAAGGCAUACAGGCAGGUCUUCAAUGCCUCCAGAGAAGCAGACUCCACAACCUCCCUGGGCAGCCUAUUCAAGUGUUCUAUCACCCUCACUGAGAAGUAGUUUCUUCUCAAAUUUAAGUGGAACUUUCUGUCUUCCAGUUUGCACCCAUUGCCCCUUGUCUUAUCAUUGGUUGUCACCGAGAAGAGCCUGGGUCCAUUCCCCUGACACUCACCCUCUACAUAUCUGUAAACAUUAAUGAGGUCACCUCUCAGUCUCCUCUUCUCCAAGCUAAAGAGACCCAGCUCCCUCAACCUUUCCUCAUAAGGGAGAUGCUCCACUCCCUUAAUCAUCUUUGUUGCCCUGCACUGGACUCUCUCCAGCAGUUCCCUGUCCUUCUUGAACUGAGGGGCCCAGAACUGGACACAAUAUUUCAGAUGUGGUCUCACCAGGGCAGAGUAGAGGGGAAGGAGAACCUCUCUUGACCUACUAACCACCCCCCUUCUAAUACACCCCAGGAUGUCACUGGCCUUCCUGGCCACAAGGGCACAGUGCUGGCUCAUGGUCAUCCUGCUGUCCACCGGGACCCCCAGGUCCCUUUCCCCUACACUGCUCUCUAAUAGGUCUUUCCCCAGCUUAUACUGGAACCUGGGGUUGUUCCUAC